rnacentral:lncRNA from 1 species
AUAAGUCAAAAAACAUUUAAUUCAUGAAAAAUGUCAAAAUUAAUCCAAAAAAAAAGAUUUUAAUCCAAAAUAUGGAAGAGGAAAAUAUUUAAAGAUUUUUGGUGGAAGUCCCAUAUUUUUUGGAUUAAAAAUAAAAUUUAUAUGAAUUAAAUAAAAAAAAAAGGAUUAAAUGAAAAAUCAGAAUUAAAAAAUAAAUUAGAAAAAACGAGGGCCAUCAGAUCUCUCUCAUUAAUUGAGGUGGCAGAUAUGAUGGCCACGCGCAUAGGGAACAUGGUGGAACCAAGUCAAUGCGCCACACGCGUGGUAAUCAAAACCAAGGAUCAUGAUUAAAACAUUUGAAUCAGAUCAGAAGGUUGGAAAGGCGCCAACGCACCACCGGAGCCCUAGCUCCGGUCUCCUUCUCUAAUGGACCUCAC